AUAUUGCACAAUGGGGGGAACCCUGAUGCAGCGACGCCGCGUGAGCGAAGAAGUAUCUCGGUAUGUAAAGCUCUAUCAGCAGGGAAGAAAAUGACGGUACCCGACUAAGAAGCUCCGGCUAAAUACGUGCCAGCAGCCGCGGUAAUACGUAUGGAGCAAGCGUUAUCCGGAUUUACUGGGGGUAAAGGGAGCGCAGGCGGCGCGCCAAGUCUGGUGUGAAACCCCGGGGCUCAACCCCGGGACUGCAUUGGAAACUGGCGGGCUGGAGUGUCGGAGGGGCAGGCGGAAUUCCUGGUGUAGCGGUGAAAUGCGUAGAUAUCAGGAGGAACACCGGUGGCGAAGGCGGCCUGCUGGACGACAACUGACGCUGAGGCUCGAAAGCGUGGGGAGCAAACAGG
rnacentral:rRNA from 1 species